GGAAGAUUCCAAAUUUGUCACAGAUAUUGUGACUUACACUAUCUUAAUAAAUGGCAUGUGUAAUGCUGGAAAGCUCAACGAUGCUCAGGGGCUGUUUAAUUGUUUGAAUGCUCGUGGCUUGCAACCUAAUGUGUGGACGUACAAUGUCAUUAUUCAUGGAUUGUGCAAAGGAGGAUGCAUGGAGGAAGCAUAUCAGCUGUUAAGGGAGAUGGAAGGAAAUGGAUGCCUUCCAAAUGACGUCACUUAUAACACAAUCAUCCAAGUACUAUUAAGAAAUAAUGAAAAUACCAGAGCAGCAGAACUUGUCAAUGAAAUGGUUGAAAGGGGUUUUUCUGCAGAUGUAGUGACUACGGAGUUGUGGGUUAAAUAUGUCGUGACAAAUGAAACUUCUUCCUUUUCGAAGGCAAGCAUGAUGACGGCCUUUGAUCAAAUUAAGUGAGACAGGCAAAUAAAGGGUCAUGUUUAGGGACAGUGAUUCGGUUAGGAAGCCGAAACCGAAGAUGAAACCGAUUGAGCUCAAGAUGCCUCCAGAGCAGAAACAAACCAUCAUGAGGAUCAUCUUUGGCCUGUUGAAGGAGCAUGGUCCUCUCACGAUUGCAGACACCUGGGAACGCGUUCAAGUAAUGUCUUUUUUGUUUUUAAACGUUUUCAGUGCUUGCCGAUUCUCAUCCCUUAUUCUUUGCCUCUCUGCUGCAUAAUGCAUCAACACCUUGGCAUCUCUUAGGUAUCAUCAUUUUUAUUGUCAUCUUGGUGUGCUUAAUUUGCUGAUCAUCGUCUCAAGACAAUUCAGGAAGUUGGUUUAAGAGGACUGACUAGCAAAAGGCACAUGAAAAUAGUGUUGAGAUGGAUGAGAGAGAGACAAAAGGUGCGGCUCCUGUGCAACCGCGUUGGUCCAAAUAAGCAAUUUUUCUACACAACUUGGUUCACAAAAGUGCGGCAAGAAAUGGACAGAACAAUGACACUGCUUCAAAACCUGGACAUCCAUGACUUGUUGCCGGUAGGCGUAUUGUAAAUGCAGAAAGCACACACAAAGAUGUGUUGCUUUGACUUUUGAGUCAUCAUUGUAUCUUGACCCUUCUUCCUAGUUCAGUUUUUGCUUGUUAGAAGGGCCGUACUUGCAUUUGCGAGGUCGUGUAAAUAAAGUUUAAUGCUAUGGUAUUACCUGAUUUGCAUAA